GCACUGGUGGUUUAGUGGUAGAGCUCUCACCUUCCAGUCAGGAGCCCUGAGUUCAGUUCCCAGCCAAUGUG
rnacentral:tRNA from 1 species